rnacentral:rRNA from 1 species
AGAGCGAACGCUGGCGGCAGGCCUAACACAUGCAAGUCGAGCGCCCGUAGCAAUACGGGAGCGGCAGACGGGAGAGUAACACGUGGGAACGCGCCCUUCGGUUCGGAAUAACUCAGGGAAACUUGAGCUAAUACCGGAUACGCCCUUACGGGGAAAGAUUUAUUGCCGAAGGAACGGCCCGCGUCCGAUUAGCUAGUUGGUGAGGUAAUGGCUCACCAAGGCGACGAUCGGUAGCUGGUCUGAGAGGAUGACCAGCCUCACUGGGACUGAGACACGGCCCAGACUCCUACGGGAGGCAGCAGUGGGGAAUAUUGGACAAUGGGCGCAAGCCUGAUCCAGCCAUGCCGCGUGGAUGAUGAAGGCCCUAGGGUUGUAAAGUCCUUUCGGCGGGGAAGAGUAAUGACGGUACCCGCAGAAGAAGCCCGGCUAACUUCGCGCCAGCAGCCGC